AGAGUUUGAUCCUGGCUCAGGACGAACGCUGGCGGCGUGCCUAAUACAUGCAAGUAGAACGCUGAAGAGAGGAGCUUGCUCUUCUUGGAUGAGUUGCGAACGGGUGAGUAACGCGUAGGUAACCUGCCUUGUAGCGGGGGAUAACUAUUGGAAACGAUAGCUAAUACCGCAUAACAAUGGAUGACACAUGUCAUUUAUUUGAAAGGGGCAAUUGUUCCACUACAAGAUGGACCUGCGUUGUAUUAGCUAGUAGGUGAGGUAAUGGCUCACCUAGGCGACGAUACAUAGCCGACCUGAGAGGGUGAUCGGCCACACUGGGACUGAGACACGGCCCAGACUCCUACGGGAGGCAGCAGUAGGGAAUCUUCGGCAAUGGGGGCAACCCUGACCGAGCAACGCCGCGUGAGUGAAGAAGGUUUUCGGAUCGUAAAGCUCUGUUGUAAGUCAAGAACGGGUGUGAGAGUGGAAAGUUCACACUGUGACGGUAGCUUACCAGAAAGGGACGGCUAACUACGUGCCAGCAGCCGCGGUAAUACGUAGGUCCCGAGCGUUGUCCGGAUUUAUUGGGCGUAAAGCGAGCGCAGGCGGUUUGAUAAGUCUGAAGUUAAAGGCUGUGGCUCAACCAUAGUUCGCUUUGGAAACUGUCAAACUUGAGUGCAGAAGGGGAGAGUGGAAUUCCAUGUGUAGCGGUGAAAUGCGUAGAUAUAUGGAGGAACACCGGUGGCGAAAGCGGCUCUCUGGUCUGUAACUGACGCUGAGGCUCGAAAGCGUGGGGAGCGAACAGGAUUAGAUACCCUGGUAGUCCACGCCGUAAACGAUGAGUGCUAGGUGUUGGAUCCUUUCCGGGAUUCAGUGCCGCAGCUAACGCAUUAAGCACUCCGCCUGGGGAGUAUGACCGCAAGGUUGAAACUCAAAGGAAUUGACGGGGGCCCGCACAAGCGGUGGAGCAUGUGGUUUAAUUCGAAGCAACGCGAAGAACCUUACCAGGUCUUGACAUCCCGAUGCUAUUUCUAGAGAUAGAAAGUUACUUCGGUACAUCGGUGACAGGUGGUGCAUGGUUGUCGUCAGCUCGUGUCGUGAGAUGUUGGGUUAAGUCCCGCAACGAGCGCAACCCCUAUUGUUAGUUGCCAUCAUUCAGUUGGGCACUCUAGCGAGACUGCCGGUAAUAAACCGGUGGAAGGUGGGGAUGACGUCAAAUCAUCAUGCCCCUUAUGACCUGGGCUACACACGUGCUACAAUGGUUGGUACAACGAGUUGCGAGUCGGUGACGGCGAGCUAAUCUCUUAAAGCCAAUCUCAGUUCGGAUUGUAGGCUGCAACUCGCCUACAUGAAGUCGGAAUCGCUAGUAAUCGCGGAUCAGCACGCCGCGGUGAAUACGUUCCCGGGCCUUGUACACACCGCCCGUCACACCACGAGAGUUUGUAACACCCGAAGUCGGUGAGGUAACCUUUUGGAGCCAGCCGCCUAAGGUGGGACAGAUGAUUGGGGUGAAGUCGUAACAAGGUA
rnacentral:rRNA from 1 species